rnacentral:rRNA from 1 species
AUUGAACGCUGGCGGCAGGCUUAACACAUGCAAGUCGAGCGGAGAGAGGUAGCUUGCUACCGAUCUUAGCGGCGGACGGGUGAGUAAUGCUUAGGAAUCUGCCUAUUAGUGGGGGACAACAUUUCGAAAGGAAUGCUAAUACCGCAUACGUCCUACGGGAGAAAGCAGGGGAUCUUCGGACCUUGCGCUAAUAGAUGAGCCUAAGUCGGAUUAGCUAGUUGGUGGGGUAAAGGCCUACCAAGGCGACGAUCUGUAGCGGGUCUGAGAGGAUGAUCGGCAACACGGGGACGGGAACACGGCCCGAACUCCUACGGGGGGCAGCAGUGGGGAAUUGUGGCCAAUGGGGGCAAGCCUGAUCCAGCCAUGCCGGGUGUGUGAAGAAGGCCUUAUGGUUGUAAAGCACUUUAAGCGAGAAGGAGGCUACUUUAGUUAAUACCUAGGGAUAGUGGACGUUACUCGCAGAAUAGCACCGGCUAACUCUGUGCCAGCAGCCGCAGUAAAAC